rnacentral:rRNA from 1 species
AUGAUGCGGGACCUAGGACUACGAGACGAGGACUUGGAUGGUGUGGUCUAUGAGCAAGAGGAGAUGCUGCCGAUUGAUUCUUUUCAUUGGACCGCAAUAGCAAGAGUUCAUGUUGGAAAGACAUAUAAUCAAUUUUGGUUCUUCAAAUACAUACGAGCAGCUUGGUAUCUUGAGCAAGAUGUUAAAAUCCGUCCGCAGGAGGAUAAACUUUACAGUCUCCACUUUUCAUGCCUAGGGGAUUGGGAAAGAGUCAUGGAGUAUGGUCCAUGGAAUUUUAGAGGGGGCGCAGUGAUCAUUGCCCCUUGA